rnacentral:lncRNA from 1 species
UUUUCAUACAGUUUAUUGUUUGCCACACAAAAGAACUGAAGUUUUGUUGCUGUUAGUUAUGGAAAUCCAGCUACCUUUGAGUACUGGAGUGAGAUGAAGUGGAGCUCUAAAUCAAUGAGAAGAGCAAAUAAAAAAAUGUUGUAAAAGCAACAAGCCUGAUUUCAGCAGCUCAGAAGCUGUUCAGUGGUGGCUCUCUGGUGAUCAUAAUCUAUGCUUCUUUGCUCAGUGUGAAGUGGCACAGUGACACCCUGGCUUUCAGGCAGCUCUGUAACUCCUGAAUGGGCAACGCGCUGUUUAACCUGAGGUACCUUGGAAGUUGAUCCUGCUUUAUGCACAAGUAGAAC